rnacentral:rRNA from 1 species
CCCUUAGAUGUUCUGGGCCGCACGCGCGCUACACUGACAAGGCCAACGAGUUUAUAACCUUCACCGGUAGGUGUGGGUAAUCUUUUGAACCCUUGUCGUGCUGGGGCUAGAUCUUUGUAAUUUUCGAUCUUCAACGAGGAAUUCCUAGUAAGCGUGAUUCAUCAGAUCGCGUUGAUUACGUCCCUGCCCUUUGUACACACCGCCCGUCGCUACUACCGAUCGAAUGGUUUAGUGAGUUGUUGGGACUGGCACUGGGGGACUGGCAACAGUCCGCUUGAGCCGGGAACUUCUGCAAACUUGAUCAUUUAGAGGAAGUAAAAGUCGUAACA